UAUGUGAAGAAUAUCAUUUUCAAAAACUCACACACUUCAUGGUGUUGAGAUCCCAUUUGAAAAACUGAAGGAAAAUUUCAUCAUCAUCAUCAUUCAUUUGCGUUAGUGUUGGUGUGAGGACUCUUCUUUAUUUCUUAUAUAGUAUUAAUGUUGAGUAGAAAAUUGUUGUACUUUAAUUUGAGCUCUCUUGUAGAGCAGAACCUGAACAACAAUGUACCACUUAAGCAAGGAACAUAUAUUACGAGGCAAUUUGGUUUUGGAUAGAAGUCAAGACCAUGAGAACUAGAAAGACAGUCUUUCCCAUUCUUAAAAGUACGCAAAAUAAAAAAGGAUGGGUAGGAGGGGGUAAUGGUUGUAGCAGAGCAACAAUAACAACAUUCAUUCUCCCUAAGUUGACAUCCAUGCCAUUGCAUCUGUAUAUGGAGGAUCUAGAUCUGUUUGAUACAACAAUAUUUUCUUCAUUUGCAUUCUUUUGUUAGAUAAUGAGGGUGAAGUUCACAUGCAAUUCCAAGGACUUGAGAGGUUGUGCCAAAUAUGGAUUCAUCUUAUGCAAGUAUAUACAGGGUAGAUAAUUCACAUCACAGGGCUUGUUGUUGUUCAUUUCCAAGUUUGAAAUCUCUGCCUGAAGGGAUACCAAAAGGAGGCAACCUUAGACUGGCCUAAUAACUUCUAAUGUCCCAAGGACUCAUAUCUACUAGUCAUGGAUUGCUAAUUCGCAAAAGACCUCUCUUUUAAUUCAAGUGCACUAUCCACGACAUAUUUCAGGUUUGUAAUGCCAAUUGCUUUUCCUGACUUUGAUGUUUGCUUAAUUUCUUAUUUUACAAUUAAUUUGCUCUGUUUCUUACUUUACAAGCUAUGGACGAAUGAUGCAUAUGGAAUGAGUAAGUUCACUUGCAUCAACAUGUCUUUAUUAUUCAGCUUACUUGAUAAUGUUCCUAUACGUAUGCUGGUGAAUCCAAUCUUUGUAGAGUGUUUUCUUUGGAGUUCUCUUUCUCAUCGA